UGCCAGACUCCUACGGGAGGCAGCAGUGAGGAAUAUUGGUCAAUGGCCGGAAGGCUGAACCAGCCAAGCCGCGUGAGGGAGGAAGGCGCAGAGCGUCGCAGACCUCUUUUGCCGGGGGACAAAAGGCCGGACUCGUCCGGUCCUGAGGGUACCCGGAGAAAAAGCAUCGGCUAACUCCGUGCCAGCAGCCGCGGUAAUACGGAGGGUGCGAGCGUUAAUCGGAAUUACUGGGCGUAAAGCGCUCGUAGGCGGUAUGUCAAGUCAAGGGUGAAAUCCCCGCGCUCAACGUGGGAACUGCCUUUGAAACUGGCAAACUGGAGUGUGUGAGAGGAUAGUGGAAUUCCAGGUGUAGGAGUGAAAUCCGUAGAUAUCUGGAGGAACAUCAGUGGCGAAGGCGACUAUCUGGCACAUAACUGACGCUGAGGAGCGAAAGCGUGGGUAGCAAACAGGAUUAGAUACCCUGGUA
rnacentral:rRNA from 1 species